AUGUUUUGGAUUGUACUCAGCCCUAGGAGGACGUAUUAUAAAGUUGACAAGCUGCUCCAUAUAGAGAUUGAAAGCAAUCAAGUUUGAUUUGAUCCCUUCUUCUCCUGCUUUGUCUCUCGUUUAUUGCUCUCUUUCUUAGCUGUUGUAUUUUACUUGUUUAGCAAAUAAAGUAAUAAAAUAUAGAGGCCAUAGAAUAUUGGAAAUAGUGAAAAGAGACAGAAGGGAAGAACAAAACAAGGGAACAGAGAAGAGAAGAUACUCUGGCUGAUCUCUGUAUCUGAAGCAGAUUUUAUCAGACAGAGAAAGGGGAAGAAGAAGAAGGAGAAGGAGAAGAACCGGCCUCUGCAGAUGUUUUUAACUGGUUUUUGUUUUGGUUUUUCUUGUCGCAGGUGGCUUCCAUAAUUCCAUUUGGGGUUGUUCC
rnacentral:misc_RNA from 1 species